AUGCACGCUGGCGGCGUGCUUAACCCAUGCAAGUCGAACGGAAAGGCCCAAGCUUGCUUGGGUACUCGAGUGGCGAACGGGUGAGUAACACGUGGGUGAUCUGCCCUGCACUUCGGGAUAAGCCUGGGAAACUGGGUCUAAUACCGGAUAGGACCACAUUUUGGAUGGUGUGGUGGAAAGUUUUUCGGUGUGGGAUGAGCUCGCGGCCUAUCAGCUUGUUGGUGGGGUAAUGGCCUACCAAGGCGUCGACGGGUAGCCGGCCUGAGAGGGUGUACGGCCACAUUGGGACUGAGAUACGGCCCAGACUCCUACGGGAGGCAGCAGUGGGGAAUAUUGCACAAUGGGCGCAAGCCUGAUGCAGCGACGCCGCGUGGGGGAUGACGGCCUUCGGGUUGUAAACUCCUUUCGCUAGGGACGAAGCGUUAUGUGACGGUACCUGGAGAAGAAGCACCGGCUAACUACGUG
rnacentral:rRNA from 1 species